rnacentral:misc_RNA from 1 species
AAAUGCGAUAAGUAAUGUGAAUUGCAGAAUUCCGUGAAUCAUCGAAUCUUUGAACGCACCUUGCGCUCCUUGGUAUUCCUUGGAGCAUGCCUGUUUGAGUAUCAUGAAAUCUUCAAAGUAAAUCUUUUGUUAACUCAAUUGGUUUCUACUUUGGUAUUGGAGGUCUUUGCAGCUUCACACCUGCUCCUCUUUGUUCAUUAGCUGGAUCUCAGUGUUAUGCUUGGUUCCACUCGGCGUGAUAAGUUAUCUAUCGCUGAGGACACUGUAAAAGGUGGCCAAGGUAAAUGCAGAUGAACCGCUUCUAAUAGUCCAUUGACUUGGACAAUACUUUUAUGAUCUGAUCUCAAAUCAGGUAGGACUACCCGCUGAACUUAAGC